GUGAGUUUUCUGAGAGUGUCUCAUAUCUAAAACUUUUUCUCCUAUUUUUCAUCUUUGAAAGAGUCCAAAUCAAGAAGAAGGAGGCAUCUGAUCGACCAUCAAAGAAGGAUCAGCACAGUACUAGCAUACUGUGCUGAUUUUCUGAACCAGAACUUCUGAUCAUGAUUCGUGGGCUCGUGUGGACGACUCCUAGAGGUCGGAUGCAUGUGUGGCUCGCAACAUCAUCCUCAAACCUAGAUCAGCAAAGUUAUAACGUCUAACUUGCAAGGUAAUAGAUCUGAUCUAUUAUAUUUUACAUACAUUAGAUGUAGUAUAG
rnacentral:lncRNA from 1 species